UACGUAGGGGGCUAGCGUUGUCCGGAAUCAUUGGGCGUAAAGCGCGCGUAGGCGGCCAGAUAAGUCCGGUGUGAAAGUCAAAGGCUCAACCUUUGAAUGCCGCUGGAAACUGUUUGGCUCGAGUCCGGGAGGGGCGAGUGGAAUUCCUGGUGUAGCGGUGAAAUGCGCAGAUAUCAGGAGGAACACCGAUGGCGAAGGCAGCUCGCUGGGACGUGACUGACGCUGAGACGCGAAAGCGUGGGGAGCAAACAGG
rnacentral:rRNA from 1 species